rnacentral:rRNA from 1 species
CCCUUAGAUGGUCUGGGCCGCACGCGCGCUACACUGAUGCAUUCAACGAGCACCCGCUGGGCCGAGAGGUCCGGCUAAUCUUUGAACGUGCAUCGUGCUGGGGAUAGAUGAUUGCAAUUAUUCAUCUUCAACGAGGAAUUCCUAGUAAACGCAAGUCAUCAGCUUGCAUUGAUUACGUCCCUGCCCUUUGUACACACCGCCCGUCGCACCUACCGAUUGAAUGGUCCGGUGAAAUUCUCGGACGCGGACUAGCGAUGUUAAUUCGGAGCUUGACUGUGAAAGUUAAUUAAACCUUACCAUUUAGAGGAAGGAGAAGUCGUAACA